GAAGUAUGCUCCGAGCAGGGUCCUGGAGAAUGGUUUCUCUGUUUUCCACACAUCCAAGAAGAAUAUGAGGUCAUUGUUAUGAAGGGGGGCAAAGCAGUAAGUCCUCUCUGUGAGCAGAUCCCCAACAUGU
rnacentral:snoRNA from 1 species